GAGAGUUGGGAUAGCUGGUUCUUGGUUUCUUCUCGAUCCAGCUUCCUCUGCUCCUUUGAUUCCUCCACGAGCUGCUCCCAUUUCUGCUCCAGUCCCCGAAUUCGGUGGAUUCCAUCGUCUUCAAUCAUCUACCAGUGACGUUUAGAAGAGAUGAAUCGGAGAAGAAAGAAGAACAAUAGAGAGGAAGAGGAUAGAGGCAGGAAGAAAUUCGAGGAAGAAGAAUAUGAACAAUUUCGAUUUUUUCCUUUCAUAUCCCCUUUUCCGUAAAUUAGGAUACAGAGCCGACAAAGCAAUAAUUGUUGGAUAUCCCCAAAAUUUAGGGGAUAUGCAGAAAUGUAGUUGAAUUUAACUCAA